rnacentral:rRNA from 1 species
UAGGGAAUCUUCGGCAAUGGGGGGAACCCUGACCGAGCAACGCCGCGUGAGUGAAGAAGGUUUUCGGAUCGUAAAGCUCUGUUGUUAAGGAAGAACGAGUGUGAGAAUGGAAAGUUCAUGCUGUGACGGUACUUAACCAGAAAGGGACGGCUAACUACGUGCCAGCAGCCGCGGUAAUACGUAGGUCCCGAGCGUUGUCCGGAUUUAUUGGGCGUAAAGCGAGCGCAGGCGGUUAGAAAAGUCUGAAGUGAAAGGCAGUGGCUCAACCAUUGUAGGCUUUGGAAACUGUUUAACUUGGGUGCAGAAGGGGAGAGUGGAAUUCCAUGUGUAGCGGUGAAAUGCGUAGAUAUAUGGAGGAACACCGGUGGCGAAAGCGGCUCUCUGGUCUGUAACUGACGCUGGGGCUCGAAAGCGUGGGGGGCGAACAGG